rnacentral:rRNA from 1 species
AACGUAGGUUCCGAGCGUUAUCCGGAAUUACUGGGCGUAAAGGGCUCGUAGGCGGCCAACUAAGUCGGAUGUGAAAUCCCCAGGCUCAACUUGGGAACUGCAUCCGAUACUGGAUGGCUUGAAUUCGGGAGAGGGAUGCAGAAUUCCAGGUGUAGCGGUGAAAUGCGUAGAUAUCUGGAGGAAUACCGGUGGCGAAGGCGGCAUCCUGGACCGAGAUUGACGCUGAGGAGCGAAAGCUAGGGGAGCAAACGGG